GUGCUGACUUUGGCAGCACAUGUACUAAAGUUGGAACGAUACAGAGAAGAUUAGCA
rnacentral:snRNA from 1 species